rnacentral:rRNA from 1 species
CCUACGGGAGGCAGCAGUGGGGAAUUUUGGACAAUGGGGGCAACCCUGAUCCAGCAACGCCGCGUGAGUGAAGAAGGCCUUCGGGUUGUAAAGCUCUUUUGUUAGGGAAGAAAUCUCUCAGGAUAAUACCUUGAGGGGAUGACGGUACCUAAAGAAUAAGCACCGGCUAACUACGUGCCAGCAGCCGCGGUAAUACGUAGGGUGCAAGCGUUAAUCGGAAUUACUGGGCGUAAAGCGAGCGCAGGCGGCUCCAUAAGACAGGUGUGAAAUCCCCGAGCUCAACUUGGGAAUUGCAUCUGUGACUGUGGAGCUAGAGUGUGUCAGAGGGAGGUGGAAUUCCGCGUGUAGCAGUGAAAUGCGUAGAUAUGCGGAGGAACACCAGUGGCGAAGGCGGCCUCCUGGGAUAACACUGACGCUCAUGCUCGAAAGCGUGGGGAGCAAACAGGAUUAGAUACCCUGGUAGUCCACGCCCUAAACGAUGUCUACUAGUUGUCGGGUCUUUAUUGACUUGGUAACGCAGCUAACGCGUGAAGUAGACCGCCUGGGGAGUACGGUUGCAAGNUUAAAACGUUAAUUGAAUUGAGG